UCCCAAGGCUAAAUACUCCCUAGUGACCGAUAGUGAACCAGUACCGUGAGGGAAAGGUGAAAAGCACCCCGGAAGGGGAGUGAAAGAGAUCCUGAAACCGUGUGCCUACAAGUAGUCAGAGCCCGUUAACGGGUGAUGGCGUGCCUUUUGUAGAAUGAACCGGCGAGUUACGAUCUCGUGCAAGGUUAAGCAGAAGAUGCGGAGCCGCAGCGAAAGCGAGUCUGAAUAGGGCGCAUGAGUACGUGGUCGUAGACCCGAAACCAGGUGAUCUACCCAUGUCCAGGGUGAAGUUCAGGUAACACUGAAUGGAGGCCCGAACCCACGCACGUUGAAAAGUGCGGGGAUGAGGUGUGGGUAGGGGUGAAAUGCCAAUCGAACCUGGAGAUAGCUGGUUCUCUCCGAAAUAGCUUUAGGGCUAGCCUCGAUUUAGUCUUAUGGAGGUAGAGCACUGAAUUUCCGCGGGGGCGUCAAAGCUUACCAAAGAAUAUCAAACUCCGAAUGCCAUGUAGAUGAUGAUCGGGAGUCAGACUGCACGAGAUAAGUUGGGCAGUCAAAAGGGAAAGAGCCCAGACCACCGGCUAAGGUCCCAAAGUGCGUGUUAAGUGGAAAAGGUUGUGGG
rnacentral:rRNA from 1 species